GAUGAACGCUGGCGGCGUGCCUAACACAUGCAAGUCGAGCAAAUGGAUUAAGAGCUUGCUCUUAUGAAGUUAGCGGCGGACGGGUGAGUAACACGUGGGUAACCUGCCCAUAAGACUGGGAUAACUCCGGGAAACCGGGGCUAAUACCGGAUAACAUUUUGAACCGCAUGGUUCGAAAUUGAAAGGCGGCUUCGGCUGUCACUUAUGGAUGGACCCGCGUCGCAUUAGCUAGUUGGUGAGGUAACGGCUAACCAAGGCAACGAUGCGUAGCCGACCUGAGAGGGUGAUCGGCCACACUGGGACUGAGACACGGCCCAGACUCCUACGGGAGGCAGCAGUAGGGAAUCUUCCGCAAUGGACGAAAGUCUGACGGAGCAACGCCGCGUGAGUGAUGAAGGCUUUCGGGUCGUAAAACUCUGUUGUUAGGGAAGAACAAGUGCUAGUUGAAUAAGCUGACACCUUGACGGUACCUAACCAGAAAGCCACGGCUAACUACGUGCCAGCCGCCGCCGUAA
rnacentral:rRNA from 1 species